GAUGAACGCUGGCGGCGUGCCUAAUACAUGCAAGUCGAGCGAACAGACGAGGAGCUUGCUCCUUUGACGUUAGCGGCGGACGGGUGAGUAACACGUGGGUAACCUACCUAUAAGACUGGGAUAACUUCGGGAAACCGGAGCUAAUACCGGAUAAUAUUUCGAACCGCAUGGUUCGAUAGUGAAAGAUGGCUUUGCUAUCACUUAUAGAUGGACCUGCGCCGUAUUAGCUAGUUGGUAAGGUAACGGCUUACCAAGGCAACGAUACGUAGCCGACCUGAGAGGGUGAUCGGCCACACUGGAACUGAGACACGGUCCAGACUCCUACGGGAGGCAGCAGUAGGGAAUCUUCCGCAAUGGGCGAAAGCCUGACGGAGCAACGCCGCGUGAGUGAUGAAGGUCUUCGGAUCGUAAAACUCUGUUAUUAGGGAAGAACAAACGUGUAAGUAACUGUGCACGUCUUGACGGUACCUAAUCAGAGAGCCACGGCUAACUACGUG
rnacentral:rRNA from 1 species